rnacentral:lncRNA from 1 species
UGUAUGGUCCUUGUUAAAUGCUUACUUUGUGCCACACGCUUUACUAAAUGCUGGGGGAAAUACAAGUUAAUCACGUCGGUCACAGCCUCUGUCCCAUAUGGAACUCUCAGUCUAAAUUGGAGUGGGGAGGAUUUAAUCCUCAUUUUAUAGAUGAGGUAAUCGAGGCACAAGGAAGUUAAGUGACUUGGCCAAGGUCACACAGGAGACAAGUGGCGGAUUUGGGAGUAGAACCCAGGUCAUCUGACUCUCACUAGGCCACAAAUGACGGUAUAAAUGGUAUCAGUGACCAGUUCAUGAGCCCACCUCCAUUGAAAGGUCAUUGAGAGCAGAGAAUGUGCCUGCCAACUCUGUUGUAUUGCACUCUCCCAAGCCCUUAGUACAGUGCUUGGCAAAGAAGUGCUCAGUAAAUACCACUGAUAAUGAUGAUGACAUGGUGCCAUCACAGGGAACCGUCUGACCAGCAACCUUGGGUCCUCGUUUCUUCCCAUAGACAGGGUGAAGAUGAAGAUGCCCUUUACUCCCGAAGAAGAUCCCAGCAAAGUUUAUGGAUCCAGGCAUGGAAACGGGCAGGAGUAGAAGAUGGAAAUAACACCCAGAGAGGAAGUCCCUGCUGACAGACCGUAGUCCCAGUCCAGCCCCAGUGCUGGUAAAGAUCCUCUCAUCCUCAUCGGCAUUCAGAGCCAAGCUAGAGGCUCCUCAGCCUGGGCCUCCUCCGUCCUGCCUCCACCACAUUCAAACAGUAGCAAAUCCAGCUUAGAUGGUUUGUUUUACUGCUAUUUGCCUGGCGAUGGCAGCAGUGAAGAGAAAGUGACCCUGUAGCGGAAGGUAAGUAGUCUCUUUUGGCUCUUUUCUACCUCCUUUCCAUUUUCUUCUCUCCUCCUCUUAUCCUCUUUUUACCUCUCCCAAACUUUUCUUCCCUUUCCCUUUUUCCUUCACCAGCCCCAAUUCACUCCUGCCUUCAAGAUGAAAAGUUAACACACCUAGAAAAACAGGCCUUCUGCCCAAGUAGUUCCUCAUCCCAAACCCGAGAAUGCAUCCCAGCUCCAUUUUCAGAAAGUUUAAUGAAUUGAAGAUGGCACAGUGUAACCCCAGCCCCUCCCCCUUUCCCAGCUGUCACCGCUCUCCCCUCCUCCCCUGCUGGAACGUUUCAAAUCCUUCAAACCCCCUCGCUGCUUUGUUCAUCUCAUAGGCAGACACUAAGUGAAUUACAAACUGACAGCAGAGACUAAAAUUGCCAGCAUCAUCACCCUCACUUCUUCUCAGUGCCUGUGAGAGG